CAUGAAGCUCUUAAUUAGCUCUAUCUGAUC
rnacentral:piRNA from 1 species